rnacentral:rRNA from 1 species
UACGUAGGGCGCAAGCGUUAUCCGGAAUUAUUGGGCGUAAAGAGCUCGUAGGCGGUUUGUCGCGUCUGCCGUGAAAGUCCGGGGCUCAACUCCGGAUCUGCGGUGGGUACGGGCAGACUAGAGGUAGGUAGGGGAGAACGGAAUUCCCGGUGUAGCGGUGAAAUGCGCAGAUAUCGGGAGGAACACCGGUGGCGAAGGCGGCAUCCUGGACCAACACUGACGCUGAGGAGCGAAAGCCAGGGGAGCAAAGCGGG